UACGUAGGGGGCAAGCGUUGUCCGGAUUUACUGGGCGUAAAGAGCGUGUAGGCGGCCAAGCAGGUCCGUUGUGAAAACUGGAGGCUUAACCUCCAGACGUCGACGGAAACCGCGUGGCUAGAGUCCGGAAGAGGAGAGUGGAAUUCCUGGUGUAGCGGCGAAAUGCGCAGAUAUCAGGAGGAACACCAAUGGCGAAGGCAGCACUCUGGGACGUGACUGACGCUGAGACGCGAAAGCGUGGGGAGCAAACAGG
rnacentral:rRNA from 1 species